rnacentral:rRNA from 1 species
GAUGAACGCUGGCGGCGUGCCUAAUACAUGCCAGUCGAGCGAACAGACGAGGAGCUUGCUCCUCUGACGUUAGCGGCGGACGGGUGAGUAACACGUGGAUAACCUACCUAUAAGACUGGGAUAACUUCGGGAAACCGGAGCUAAUACCGGAUAAUAUAUUGAACCGCAUGGUUCAAUAGUGAAAGACGGUUUUGCUGUCACUUAUAGAUGGAUCCGCGCCGCAUUAGCUAGUUGGUAAGGUAACGGCUUACCAAGGCAACGAUGCGUAGCCGACCUGAGAGGGUGAUCGGCCACACUGGAACUGAGACACGGUCCAGACUCCUACGGGAGGCAGCAGUAGGGAAUCUUCCGCAAUGGGCGAAAGCCUGACGGAGCAACGCCGCGUGAGUGAUGAAGGUCUUCGGAUCGUAAAACUCUGUUAUUAGGGAAGAACAAAUGUGUAAGUAACUUUGCACGUCUUGACGGUACCUAAUCAGAAAGCCACGGCUAACUACGUG